UUAUCGGAGAGUUUGAUCCUGGCUCAGGACGAACGCUGGCGGCGUGCCUAAUACAUGCAAGUCGAGCGGACAGAUGGGAGCUUGCUCCCUGAUGUUAGCGGCGGACGGGUGAGUAACACGUGGGUAACCUGCCUGUAAGACUGGGAUAACUCCGGGAAACCGGGGCUAAUACCGGAUGCUUGUUUGAACCGCAUGGUUCAAACAUAAAAGGUGGCUUCGGCUAUCACUUACAGAUGGACCCGCGGCGCAUUAGCUAGUUGGUGAGGUAACGGCUCACCAAGGCAACGAUGCGUAGCCGACCUGAGAGGGUGAUCGGCCACACUGGGACUGAGACACGGCCCAGACUCCUACGGGAGGCAGCAGUAGGGAAUCUUCCGCAAUGGACGAAAGUCUGACGGAGCAACGCCGCGUGAGUGAUGAAGGUUUUCGGAUCGUAAAGCUCUGUUGUUAGGGAAGAACAAGUACCGUUCGAAUAGGGCGGUACCUUGACGGUACCUAACCAG
rnacentral:rRNA from 1 species